UUAGUAAGCUGGGUGAUUGCCGGGCACAUAACACAUUAUGCGCUUGGAGGAAAGUCCGAACACUCACUCCUCGGCAUUGCCGAGGGUUAAAAAAAUAGCGGGUAACACCCGUCGGCCGCGAGGCUAGAGGUGCGAGCAGAGACGCCAAAGUCCGAAAGGGCUAAGGUAUCCUAAUGGGAUAAGCCUUGAGGGCAACCUCAAGGGUGAAACGGCUAAAUCCUUAUUGAGCGCAAGAACAAGUCCUUUUCCCUGGUUUCAUACUCGGAAAAAGGUGAAAAAGUAGUUCGCAUGAGCUCAAGAGCAAUCUUGAGCCCAGAUAGAUAAUCACCUAAUUGAACUCUAUUUAGAGUUUGAUGGACAGAAUUCGGCUUAUAGGCUUACUAAGACA
rnacentral:RNase_P_RNA from 1 species